rnacentral:lncRNA from 1 species
CAGGAAGUCACAUGGAGGGAGACUCAUAUAUAAACAAGGGCAGGAAGGAAGUGGGCCCCUUCUCCCUUCCUCCAGAGUCACCAUGUGAUCCCGGCAUGAGGAUGCCAAUGGAAGGCAGCCUAAAUAAGAUAAGUCUUAUAAAAUAUACAGAUUUAUGAUAAUUAAGACUGAGCUAACAGAUGAGAAAUCCUAGUCAUUGGCCAAGCAGCAUUUGUACCUAAUAUAAGUCUCUGUGUAUUAUCUGGGGCCCUAACUCGGCAGGCAGAAAUCAGGUGGCUGGCGGAAACCACCCACGUGGCGGUAGGGCUCGGGUGGCUUUUGGUGGAAAGACUUAUCGUAACACCAAUUGUUUGUGAUUUUUGUGCUUAUAAACCCUGCUUCUGCCCUGGCUUGGGCUUUCAGGAGUAAGGAGGCUCCAAAGUCCUUGUCCUGCAGCCCCGAUCCAUCGUGACCUGUUUAUGUGAACCAAUAAGUGUCUCUCUCCUUGCCCAUGGCGCAUAACAGGCUAGGUGUAGCAAUGCUUUAAAAUGUAAGUACACCAAGGCAAACAGGAAGUUAGUAUGGAUGCAGAGAGGUAGGUAAACUGGAAUAUGGUAUGAAACUAACUGAAGUACUCGUAGGUAGUGAAGAGUGUUGGUUGAUGUGCUUCUCUGUUAACAAAAUGCAUCCUGACCACCUCUCGGUGCUUCAGAACAAUGCCUGAUGUGUUCAUCGUUAUUACGGGCACACCACUAAUUGCUCACCACCUCUUAUCCAUGCGUCUCCCUCAAUGCACCACUUCUCUGGCUAGACCAUCAUACAGCCUACCUCCAGUGUUCUCCAACUCUUAAGACUCUGAACAUAAUUGCUUCACAACAAUUUUUGUUACAUCAUUUGCUGUGUUCAGCUUGUUUUUCUAAAAAUGCACGGCAUCAAAUAUUAUCAGAGUUCCUAGUAAUUAUUGGCGUCCAUGUGUAAACCAAGGGCCUGGAAGAGUGAGUAGAGCCAUGGCCACCAAAACAGAGUGUUAGAAACCGUUCCUACCUGAACCAGGAGGGAUACUCUCCCUCAGUAAGAUGGAAGCGGUGACUUGUCACAAUUGUAACAUUUAAUUCUCUAAAAAAAAUUCAGUAAAUUAUCACUCUUUCCAUCUACCCAUUAGUAAAUGAAAACUCCUACAGUUAAGGCAUUCUACAAAUGCUCACAUCUGAUAUGAAAUGGGGUGGAAGCCAGAUGCCAGGCCUACUUGAGGAUAAACCCAUGUCACUUCCCACCAGGUUACACAAUAUUGAUUGCUUUAGAUUUAUCUUAUUAGUCUUUAAAACCUGCACAUGCCUGUGUGUUUCUGUGUGGGUAUGAGCACACAUGUGCCGGUGCUCAGAGAUGGAGGCCUCGAAUUUCCCAGAGCUGCAGGUCCAGGCAGUUGUUAUUUGUCCCAUAUAUGCAGUGACAACCGAACUCCUGACCUCUGGAAAAAGCAGUGCAUUCUCUUAACCACUGAGCUAUCUCUCCAGCCCCAUUGUAUCAAUUUUUCAUGUGUCAAAGCAUGGAAAACAAAAAGUAGCCGAAAACAAAAAGAAACCGGAGGUAUAGAAGGAUCACUGGUUUUUACUGUAUGUUAACACACAUAAAAAUUAUGUCUCGGAGUUCUGGUGUCUUAUUUCAUGCAGGGCAUGGUAGGUUUUCCUGCACAUCCUUGAUGGGGCUUGGCACUGCCUGAACUUAGGCUUAUUAGCUCUGCUGAUGAGGUCAUCAGGUGCUAAGGGAUCCCAACUCUGGCACUGUGAUUUCAGAGACUCCAAGUAGGUUGUAAAAAUGUGAGCCAAGAUCACAAGAAUCUUGUUAACAAGGAGAUGUUGACACAUGAAACAUCAGCAAAGGAGACAAGAUAGCAAGUAAAUGAACACACUGCUUGGUGACAAUGCUCAGAAGGGAGAGCAGGAAGAAAGGCAGGUCCUUGGUUCUCACAAUCCACCACUCACCACUUGCUGACUCUUUUGUUGUCCAACUGGUUAAAUCCACACUCAAGAUGAAGGUCCUCAUUCUACAACAAGUCCUUAUCACUCAGCUACAUGCAAGUAGUCGUCACUUCCCAGGAGACUGGCUCAGUUUCUUGUUGUAUCUGCUGGUGAGAAACCCCAAUGCAGGGAUUAGCAGACAAAGCGAGACACAAGUGAUAUGUUCAAGACUUGUCAAGAGCAUAUAAUUGACAGGAAAAGUGGCUCCUGGGAUGAGAGCCAGCCAGAUCCUCUGGGAGCAGUGCCAUUGGCCAGGCUGGCACACAGGAACACAUGCUCCAGUCUCUCUGGACUUGACAGCUGCUUCAGCCUUUGACAUGACCUUUUGGGAUCCUUACUAACCUGCUCCAGGCAGUUGUCUUCCAUGAAUUCUUAUGAUACGGAUUUCCACACAAGGCUCCUUAUCUUUCCAUGUAAAACAAGCAUUUUUUUACUAAAUAUUUACAAUAGCAGAGAUGAAUUAUUUACUCAGUUUACAGUUUCAUCUCUGAUUUUUCUGUAUGUUUAUCUGAAUGUUGGGUGUUUCCAGUUAAUAUAUCAAAGCCACAAAAUGGAGAAACUGGGUAAUUUGCACUGAGAUCUCUGCUGUCAAAAUGGGCCAUGAAAAUACUGUUUAGAUUUCAGACUGUUUAUGUCUGGGCUGAGGGGGAGAGGUGGGCAUACAGGAGCCUCAGGAAAACAGCUUGGGUUGUGGGCGGUGUGUGCACCUAUGUGAAAGGGAACUCCAGAGAUAGUUACGGUGGUUUAAAUGAGGAUGUCCCAUGUAGACUCUUUUAUUUGAACACUUGGUCCCGCGUUGGUGGAACUCUUUGGGAAGGAUUAGGAGGUGAGGUCUUGUUGGAGGAGACGAGUCACUGGAAGUGGGCUUAGAGGUUUCAAAAGCCCAUGCCAUUCCCAAUUAUCUUUCUCAGUCUUGUGACUGAUACUCAAUACGUAAGCUCUUAGUUACCGCUCCAGUACCAUGCUUCCAUGCUCCUUACCAUGGUAGUCCUGGACUCUAACCCUCUGCAACUGUGAGCCCCAAUAAACAUUUUCUUUUAUUAGUUGCCUUAGUCACGGUAACUCUUCCCAGCAAUAGAAAAGUAAUAGAGCAUUUGGGCGGUAAGUGGAGCAUGUAAGAAGCUGCUUGUAAUAUCACAUGAUGGCAGUUUCAUAUGGCUCAACUAAAUAACACAGAGGGAAAAACUGAGGAAGGUGCCAGAGUCAGCAGACACAAUACACUAUCUGGAUGGAUGGUCCUUCCCAUCCAGUAACUCUAGAACCAGUCAAGGGAUUUGACACAACAGUGGUAAAAAGCAGCUCAGAAAUAUUUAGAGGAUUUAAGAAAUACCGGGAGAACAAAUAUAUAAAUGAGUCGCAGGAGAUUCAUUUGCUACUAAAACUAAAAUCUGAAGUCUUGUGUCACCCGUGAUCCAAUGGCCUAGGACUUCGGGGAUGGAAGUAAAAUCAAGAAAGAGAAUAGCGCUGACAAUGCAGAUGAAGUGUCUUUGAGACCAAAAAUGCCCGUGAGGGUGUGCAACUGUGGCCAUACUGUUUAUUUGAACUAUAUAUUGAGAGUCCUUCACUCCAGUAGCAGGUACGACUGUGUGUGCUGGGUUCGGGAGACAGAACAGUGCAGAUAGAAGGGCUAGUAAAAGGUGACAAUAUAAAUCCGGGUCAGUGGCACUGGCAGACAUCUCCCUGAACUUUUCACACCCUGGUGAUCAGAGAGGAGGGUAGAGAGAAGGCCUUGGAAUGUUUUUAUAUCCUAGGAUCUGGUGCCCCACCUGACCCGAUUGACAGAUAUUGAUCAAAACUGCCAGUUAGAUGCUAACUCCUCGUUCCUGAUAAUUUAACUGGAGAGGACUUCAAACUGUGAGAACAAAGAGUGCAGACAGACAGCCCCAGACUGCUCAAAAUAUCUUCCCCAGGGUCCCUGCGUAGGUAGCAGGCUGCCCUUUCCAAGAAUGUGUUUAUCAAAAAGGCAACUGGAAACUUUGCUUUCCUGAGAACUCUGUUAACUCGCAACUUGAGAUAGCUGUGCAUUGCUUCUCUUUGGAGAUGGGAGGCUAACUAUUUAUAAUACCGGCUGGGACCAUCACCUCUCCUCUGAGGCCUAAAAGUUAAGACAUAUCCAUUUGCCCCUCCAUGUCAUGAGUGGCCUUGGAUAACUCCAAAUACUUCCUUGUAGGUGCAGGCUUCUUAUCCAGAAGAAGACACAGUCUGGGAACUCCUGGAAGCAACUGCUUGGAGUUCAUAUAUAUUCCUAAUGCUUUUAAGUGUCGUCCACCACCAGGAGGAAUUUGCUUGACUUUUACUGCAAAAGCAAGCAAGACACAAGAGGACAGCAAGCAUGAGUCCUCCGUCAUGGAAUUAUCUUCCAACUAAGGCUUCAAUUGGGUCCUUCAGUUUUCUAGUACAGGGGGGAGAAUGGAUCAUACAUCUAUCCAAGUAGGAAGGUCCAGCUCUGUUCUAACCCAGUGGAUAUCCUGCCACUUCAGAUUUAAAUUCUCAGCUGGGCUCAGUGUGCUAUUAUCAAGCCUGAGUAUACGAAUUAGCAACAGGAAGAAAACAAUCUGGAAAUUGAACCCAUCCAAAUCAGCACAGGCUCACCCUGCCCUUCUGGUGCAGCCCAAAGUAAGUUCACAUGCUGGUCGGGUUCCCAUAUGUGCACUUCCUUCUUUGAGAAAAAUCCUAAACCCUCCAGAAGUCUCUCAUCUCUGCCCACAGGCACUGUUGCAGAACCAUCCCCCACCCCCCCACACACACACCCUGCUGCCACAGCCAUCCUGCCUCAGGCCCUGGAUCUGAAGGGGCCUCACACACAGCUCAUCACCUCUGAAGCACCGUGAGCAAAGUAGCCAGGCGAGAACUCCCAGCAGCUAGCUGCGGGUGAGGAGACCAAGAGUGUGGAGUUGUGAAAGUGGGGCCUCAGAUAACAGGCAGGUCAGAGCCAGUGUCUUUCUGAGGAGAGGUCAGCCUAACUCUCAUUAAAACUGCAUCUUAAAAUAGGAAGGGCAUGUGGUGGUAGAGGAGGCUCCGUGAAGAGCUGGCAUUGCCCCAGUGUGCCCUGAAGUUCCAAAGUAUAAAGUAUGAAAACUCAACUUAUCCAAAUGAGGGUUCACACUGAAAACCUCAGCUCACCUCUGACUCGGAAUUAGUUACUUUUCUAAUGCUGUGAUAAAAUACCAUUAGCGUGAUGAUCUGUAGACAAAAGAGUGUAUUUGAGUUUAUGGUUCCAGUGGGAUUAGAGUGCAUGAUGGUGGAGCAGAGGCCUGGCAGCUGCAGCUGGAAACUGAGCGGUCACAUCUUCAACCAAAGCAGGAAGUAGAGUUGUGAACUAGAAAUGGUACAAGUCCUUCAGCUCUCAAAGCCCACCUCCGGCAAUAUCUUCUAGAUGGAUGGGGAAGGGGAGGGGGUCAUUUGAUUCAAACUAUCACACACCAUUGUCUCAUCUGAGAUGAUACUUUGUACUCCAGUCUAGGGACUGAGUAUCAUUGCAAGUUGUGGGUUUUGGAGUCAACCAAACAUGACCUUGAAGUCCAACCCUGUGGCUUCCAACAUAGACCUGACCAGUUUAUUUGAUUUCCCCAAGCCUGUUUCUAUACAUGCAUGUGGUGGUUUGAAUAAGAAUGGCUCCCGUAGACUCAGCAGUGGCACAUGAGGAGGUGUGGCCUUGCUGGAGUAGGUGUGGCAUUGUUGGAGGAAGUGUGUCACUGAGGUCUUACCUGCUCAAGCUACACUCAGGAUGACACACAAUCUCCUGCUGCCUGCACAUCAAGAUGAAGAAUUCUCAGCUCUGCCCUCAUGUCGCCAUCUCCUACCAUGAUGACAAUGGACCAAACCUCUGAAACUAGAAAAUGGGGGAUGGGGUGAAGCCGGAGUGGGAAAAUUAGUGGAUCCAUUUGAAAUAGAAGUUCCAUGAAGAGCAAAGAGACCGUGAAGGAACCUAUUCAAAAGAUACAGAAAACAAAAUACUGGAAUGGCUAAGGGCCAGCUUGACAGCAACAGCUCACAUCCCCCCUUCACAGGAGGACGGAGAGAAUGGGACAGACUUUGUCAUUGUCCACAGUGAGUCUCAAACUUCUGGAACAAUACCAGUUACUUCUGAGACCAAAAAAACUUUAUAGAUAUAUAAAAUUAAAUAGAAAUAUUUAAAGAGGCCAUAGAGGCAUAGCAUGGACAACACACAAAAUUUGAAGGAAAGCAAAAGCAACAAAAGAAAGUUGAUUAAGAUUCCUCAGGUCUUGAAAUCUGGAUCUGGAUCCAAAGGACAAAAAGAAUUACAGAGAUGAGAGCAAGAAAUACAACACAAAGCCAGAAGACACCAUUCAUCCAAGUUUAUGGAAAUGGCACCUUGAGAGUACAGAACUUUACAGCAGGACAUGGUGGCCCACAUGGGAAGCCAGUGCCAGCAGAUGGGGGUUUCUUUUACCAUAGAAAUGAGGAGAAUGGCAAUGUAUUAAGAUCCCAGAGAAACAGUUAGUAAUAACAAAUGCUCUCCAGGUAGUGUCCGAAUCUGCUGAGCAGCUCUGUCUUUAUCUACUGUCUCUAUCUCAUGGUUCAUUGUUCAUCUGGCUUCACUCUAAAUACACAUAGCUUUUCCAAAGGACUGAUGUGUGAUCUAAUGGCCUGUGGUCUCCAAAAGUGACAGUCUGGGAGGUGGCCACCUUUCAUUGUCCCCUGGCCCAGCAAUGUCUAGUGGUUCUACUCUGAGGAAAGUAAAAGGACAUUAAGGAGGUAGAUAGCAGAAGAUGAAAGGGGCAUUGAAGAAAGAGGCGUGGACAGCCUAGCAGAGGUGUGUCGAGCCUACACUGGGUGUGUGUGGACCUCGAAUACCUGUUUAUUUAUUUUAUGACCCCUCUUGGCUGCCUGUGUCAUAGAGCUUUGAGGACAUCUGUGCUCAGGAAUCUGUUUUGAAAGACUUCAUUCCAGGACAGAACUGCUGGAGAGAGGAUCACCAAUGAUCUUCACAAUUGCCUCACAUGAAGUUCACAGAUCAAGAGGAAACGGUGACAAGGUUGAGGAAGGGUCAUAGGUAGCAGGCACAGUGGUCCUAUGUGACACUUUGUACCUGUGUGAGAUGGGAGCCCAUAAGACAACAAUCUUCCCAAGCUCCUGAUGUUUGGAUUUUCCGUUAACUUUUAAGCCUCUCUAUCUAAGGAGCUCCCUUUAGGGAUUAAAAUUUUAUAUUUACAAGAAAAAAAAUGGAGGAGGAGAAAUCCUUGCUUGCAACUGCCUAGCAGGGAUAGAAGGGGUCGGAACUGAUGACACUUGAAGAUAUGGGAGGCAAGGAGGCGAUUUGGUUAGUGUGCCUACGAGGCCAUGUAUUAUUUCCUUCAGAUAGUCUUCCCCUCAUUCACAGCUGCUAGUGUCUCAUGUCAUAGGCACUUUUAAGGCCAAAACUGAGUGUUCUUGGUUACCCGGAUGUAGGAACUGGAAGCACUUACCAACACCCAUGAGGACAGAUAUGGAACUAAUGAGUUCAGUGCUAGCAAUGCCAUUCGGGUGAUACGACUUCCACACACAGCAUCAAGGGCCUAGAAGAACCCAUGAAUGACAUGGAGAGGAAUCGAUGGGCCAGGUCCUCCAAGAACCAGUCAGGAGGUGGAAUUCUCUCUUGAGACCUCUUCAUGCACGAUCAGACCUUGGAAAAAAGUGACCUCUUGUCAGGCCACAGCUCCAGCAAAUACCUGACCCCAAAAAGGCUUUGCUGCCUCAUACUCUCCACAAAACCAAGUGGCUCCAACUGGACACUUGGAAAGAAAACAGACUUGGAUAAUUGUGGUUAGACAAACAAUUUCAAGAUCAUUUGGCCUGUGUGUUUAGAAGGCUCAGGGGGCCUGAGGAAUGCGGUGAAUUUACAGGAAGAGGGACAAGAACACACAUUCCUCCAGAACGCCCAAUCACCAAGCUCUUGUUUAUUUUUUGGAACCAGUGAUGUCUGGAGAGAGGUCAUCCUUUCUGAGGUUGGAGAGUGAAGACAUGUUCUGAGGUUAUAGCCAGACAAGACAAAUGAGGGAUAGAAGGACAUCUAAUGUGGUUUCUAACAAAAGCUAGCUCCAGUUCAGAGGUGGGAACUGAGAACUGUCGGAGUCUACUGGAGGGCCUUGCAGGGACUCAACCCUGAGGGAGUGUAGACGGAUGCACACCUGAUGCUGGCAGUAAAGGAGCUGUGAUUUGGUGUUGCCUAAAGGUCUGCGUGGUGAAGGUUGGUCCACCUGUGGAGCUUCUGGGAUGUGUUGGACUCUAAAAGUAGCAGGAGGCUGGAGAGAUGACUGAGGAGGGAAAGGCAUUUUCCACCAAGCUUGAUGUACCAGAGGCCACCAAGGAAGGAAGGAAAGAACGAACGAAUGAAUGAACAAACGAAGGAGAGAAGGAAAAAAGAGAGAGGGGGAAGGAAGGAAUAAAGGAGAAAUGAAGGGAAAGACAGAGGGAAGAAGGAAGCAGGGAAGGAAGGGAGGAAGGAAGGAGGGAGAAAGGCAAGGAAGGAAGGAGGGAAAUAAGGAAAAAGUUGAUAAAAUGUCAUGUGGAAAACACAGCAUCUAUAACAGAACAGUCAUCCUUAUUCUGUGUCAAAAAAAAAAGAUGAAAACUUAGAAAAACAAAAUUUCAUCAGCAUUAGACUAUAAUCUAUUAGCAAGCAGUAGGCGCAUCUCUCAUUAGCAGUUUCUAAGUCAGCAGUGUACUACCUGAAGGUUUAGGACAAACAAUCCAUGGGCUGGUAGAGUAGGUUGGCUUUACAGUCAUGGAAAGCAGAAACAAAGAAUAAAGUGUUUGGUUGGUAUUUGUUUCUCUUCCUGUUGAGAAAAACAACUUAAAGGAUAAAGGGUCAAUUUUAACUCAUAGUUUAAGGCACAAUCCAUCAUGGUGGAAAAACCAAGGCAGCGGGCGCUUGAGGAAGGUGCUACACUGCAUCCACAAUCAGGGUCUGAGGAGGGUGACUUUAUGCCAGUUCUUAGCUCACUUUCUAAAUGUUAUACA